AGUUGAUUUUUUUACGUUAAGUAAGAACUGUAUUAAUAUCCCGUACAGAAUUAAAUGUGUCAUAUUCACGAUUCGGCACAGUUGGGCUUGAUUCAUUUUAUAGACAUCGUGAAAAUACCACAUAAAAUUUGACUUUUCAUCUCGGCUUGGUUGUAUGAUUUUUUAAUAAAUUAAUUUUUGUCGUUUUAUUUGUGGCUCUGUGGUAGUCUUCUCUGUGUCAAGUUGACGUUUUGUGUUGUAAUCCUUGUAUUGAACUGAAUUAAUUUUGUAUAGUGUCAUGCAGGAGCCUGUUUCUGUGUAAUGCAAUGAAUAACUUCGCUAUUGGAUUUAAUAGUGACAGUUUACCGUCUUGUCUGUCACGAGUCAAGUAAGAUUUUGUUGAAGUGUUUCAUAAAUGACAACUCCAUUCACAUUUCACUUUCAUAUUGAUCAGCAUUGACUUGGACACCAAGACAGACAGACAUUAUGAAGUGCCAUAGUACAUGCCAGACAGAUAUCACUUGUGUUACUUGUUUUGUGAUGCCAGUGCAGACGUUAGAACCAACGACAAACUGAAGCUUCAUAUGUGCAGAGGAAAUGUGGAGAGGUUUGAUGGCACCAAGAAUAAGUGAAUAACAAUAUAUGGGAAUUAGUUACGUAGCUC